AAUCGCUAGUAAUCGUGGAUCAGAAUGCCACGGUGAAUACGUUCCCGGGCCUUGUACACACCGCCCGUCACACCAUGGGAGUGGGUUGCAAAAGAAGUAGGUAGCUUAACCUUCGGGAGGGCGCUUACCACUUUGUGAUUCAUGACUGGGGUGAAGUCGUAACAAGGUAACCGUAGGGGAACCUGCGGUUGGAUCACCUCCUUACCUKAAAGAAGC
rnacentral:rRNA from 1 species